UUGCUGGUAGGUUAUUAAAACUGACAAGUUGUGGUUUUGUUGAAUACAUUUUAUGCUUUUGUGUACCAGUAAA
rnacentral:tRNA from 1 species